AGCACAGGGGUAAUAUUAGAAAUUUUAAAUCAGGUACCCAAUCAGACACCCCAGUAUCUAGGCACUUUGCGUCUCAUGGUCACAACCAAAUGCAAUUAAGGUGGCUUGUAUUGGAAAAUGUUAAGUUACCCAAAAGAGGGGGUAAUAUUCAGAAAAUGCUCCUUCAACAUGAAGCUCGAUGGAUUAAAAAACUCAACACAAUGUCACCCAUGGGCCUUAAUGACCAUUGGAGCUUAAUACCCUUUUUAUAAUUCGCCUUAUGAUAACACAAUUUUUUAAUCUUUUUACAGAUUUUGAAAAUCAAAUUUUCGCUUCUAAAGGGCUUUGAAAAUGGGAAAUCCUGCACUUUGUUUUAUAUGAUUGUCACAACAUGAACUUUUGAUAUAUUACAUAUAUCCACAUAUGGGAUCGUUUAAUGCUUACUAAUUAAUUUAUCAGGUGGGGGGUGUGGUUACACUCACCUCUGUGUGGUCUAUAUAAAUCGUUUUGUAAUUCACUUGUAUUCACACUUGAAAAAGGACAUAUGCUGUCCGAAACAUGUUGUGUGGAAAAUAAAAGAGCAUAUCAGCAGUAA